rnacentral:lncRNA from 1 species
GUCGUGCAGGUCUUUGUCAUAACUAAAUACUAAAUCAAAAACUGUAAAAAGCAAACCAACGUGAAUGUAAUCAUAGAUGUAUUACAUCUAUGAUGUAAUCAAUGUAUCAGGAUUAAUCAAUUUCAAGAUCAAGACGUUUUCUUUAUUUUUCAAUUUGAAGUUAGUACAAACGCCAUAAUUGAUACCGUGUAUUUGAUUAUUAAAAGUCAAACUUCGACAGGAAUCU